rnacentral:rRNA from 1 species
AAUCAACGCUGGCGGCGUGCCUAACACAUGCAAGUCGAACGCGACUGGGACGUUCGGUUCUCAGUUGAGUGGCGAACGGGUGAGUAACACGUGGGUGACCUGCCUCCAGCUCUGGGAUAAGCCUGGGAAACCGGGUCUAAUACCGGAUAUGACUCCAUGACGCAUGUUGUGGGGUGGAAAGCCUUGUGCGGCUGAGGAUGGGCCCGCGGCCUAUCAGCUUGUUGGGGGGUG